AACGAACGCUGGCGGCAUGCCUAACACAUGCAAGUCGAACGAGACCUUCGGGUCUAGUGGCGCACGGGUGCGUAACGCGUGGGAAUCUGCCCUUCGGUUCGGAAUAACUCAGGGAAACUUGAGCUAAUACCGGAUAAUGACGUAAGUCCAAAGAUUUAUCGCCGAAGGAUGAGUCCGCGUAGGAUUAGCUUGUUGGUGGGGUAAUGGCCCACCAAGGCGACGAUCCUUAGCUGGUCUGAGAGGAUGAUCAGCCACACUGGGACUGAGACACGGCCCAGACUCCUACGGGAGGCAGCAGUGGGGAAUAUUGGACAAUGGGCGAAAGCCUGAUCCAGCAAUGCCGCGUGAGUGAUGAAGGCCUUAGGGUUGUAAACUUCUUUUAUCUGGGACGAAAAAGGGUUUUCUAACUCGUCUGACGGUACCAGAUGAAUAAGCACCGGCUAACUCCGUGCCAGCAGCCGCGGUAAAGUCUGUACU
rnacentral:rRNA from 1 species